GUGCAGCAGUCGAGAAUAGUCUACAAUGGACGAAAGUCUGAUAGUGCGACGCCGUGUGUGCGAUUAAUUCCUUCGGGAUGUAAAGCACUUUUCUAUGAGAUAAAAGCUCUUUAGGUUAAUAGCUUAUUGAGACGGGAUAUUAUUAUAGGAAUAAGCUCCGGCUAACUCCGUGCCAGCAGCCGCGGUAACACGGAAGGAGCGAGCGUUGUCCGGAUUUACUAGGCGUAAAGGGCUAGUAGGCGACUAAUUAAGUUAUAUGUUAAAUCCCACGGCUCAACUGUGGUCCUGCAUGUAAUACUGGUUAGAUAGAGUACUGUAGAGGAAGGCAGAAUUCCUGGAGUAGCGGUGGAAUGCGCAGAUAUCAGGAAGAAUACCAAAGCGGAGCAG
rnacentral:rRNA from 1 species